AAUCAACGCUGGCGGCGCGCUUAACACAUGCAAGUCGAGCGAGAAAGGGGGAGCAAUCCCUGAGUAAAGCGGCGCACGGGUGAGUAACACGUGGGGAAUCUACCUCUGGGUGGGGAAUAACUCUGGGAAACCGGAGCUAAUACCGCAUAAGCCUGGGAAGGGAAAGUCGAAAGACGCCGGGAGAGGACCCCGCGGCCGAUUAGCUAGUUGGUGAGGUAACGGCUCACCAAGGCAAAGAUCGGUAGCCGGCCUGAGAGGGCACACGGCCACACUGGCACUGAAACACGGGCCAGACUCCUACGGGAGGCAGCAGUGGGGAAUCUUGCACAAUGGGGGCAACCCUGAUGCAGCGACGCCGCGUGAGCGAUGAAGCCCUUC
rnacentral:rRNA from 1 species